rnacentral:rRNA from 1 species
AGUCGAACGAUGAACCACUUCGGUGGGGAUUAGUGGCGAACGGGUGAGUAACACGUGGGCAAUCUGCCCUGCACUCUGGGACAAGCCCUGGAAACGGGGUCUAAUACCGGAUACAACCCCUGACCGCAUGGUCGGGGGGGGGAAAGCUCCGGCGGGGCAGGAUGAGCCCGCGGCCUAUCACCUUGUUGGUGAGGUAAGGGUUCACCAAGGCAACAACGGGUAGCCGGCCUGAAAGGGCAACCGGCCACCCUGGAACUGAAACACGGCCCAAACUCCUACGGAAGGCAGCAGGGGGAAAUAUUGCACAAUGGGCAAAAGCCUGAUGCACCGACCCCCCGGGAGGAAUGACGGCCUUCGGGUUGUAAACCUCUUUCACCAGGAAAAAACCAAAGGUGACGGUACCUGCAAAAAAAGCGCCGGUUAACUCCGUGCCACCACCCGCGGUAAUUCA